GGUUAAGCGACUAAGCGUACACGGUGGAUGCCCUGGCAGUCAGAGGCGAUGAAGGACGUGCUAAUCUGCGAUAAGCGCCGGUAAGGUGAUAUGAACCGUUAUAACCGGCGAUUUCCGAAUGGGGAAACCCAGUGUGACUCGUCACACUAUCAUUAACUGAAUCCAUAGGUUAAUGAGGCGAACCGGGGGAACUGAAACAUCUAAGUACC
rnacentral:rRNA from 1 species